rnacentral:lncRNA from 1 species
CCAGGGCUCUGGGCUUUCUUCCCAGGCGGACUCCGCAGCGCCUGUGAUGUGGACGCCUUGGAGGCGGAGGGCCCAGGCCAUCUUUAUGAGCAGCAAAAAGAAUCCAAAACUUUUAGCUGGUUCCUCUACCCCCAGUUCCUCUUACAGAGCACUUUAGAGAGAACUUUAAAGUGAUUUAACAAAAUUAAGUAUAUAUCGUUUUAUUUUUAAUGUACACGUUUGAAGAUAAUGUUAGAUACAUUAUAGAAAGGUACAUAAUGAAAGAAAGAAUUCCCAUAAUAUAUCACCUUCUGGGCUAAGAAUUUUUUGACUAAAAUCCAAUAUUUUAUAUCAAUGAAUGCCUAUGUAAAUAUGUUCUUUGCUGAGAGACCUUAGAAGGAAACUUUGAAGUGAGAAGAUGGUUCAUGUUCUUGAAUAAGAAGACUCAUUUUUCUCAAAGUGUGAGAUCUUUAUUAAUUUUACCUAAAGUUAUCAAAGUUAACAUUUUUGAAUUACACAUGCAGUCUUUUAGUAUUGUGAUGACGUAACAUUUUUGUAAUGCAGAAAAAUGUCUUGCCUUUCUAGAUAUCAAAAUGUGCUAUUAAUUUCCACAAAUAGUUUGCUAACAACUGAAAAGAUAGAUAAAUGAAUGCAAGAGAAUAGAAAAUCCAGGAACACCCAAGUAUAGGUUCUAACAUGCCAAGAAGAUGUGAAACUAUUCUGCUAGACUUUGGUGUUGAUCCAAAUAUUGCAGAUGUCUAUGGCAUCACUGCUCUCCACCUGCUGUCUGUAAUGAGAGUAUGUCAAAGCUUCUUCUCAGAUCCAGGAAAGGAGCUGUCCAGGAUAAUGAGGAUAGGCUGGGGAAAGACAAGCCACGGCUUUGCCUCUGUGCCAGCUCGCAUGGGCCAGGCAGAUGAUCCCAGGACACCCGCCUCCACAACAUCAACACCCGCUCCAUCCUUCAUCAACAAUUCAGUACCUGAUUAACAAAUCUGUACCCCAGGAGGUUAUGCCAAGCCCAACUUCUUCCAGAGACAACAAUAAGUCCAAGCCACUGCUAAUGUCAUUUAUAAGCUGUGGGAUUAAAACAGAGAAGCACUCAAUUAAUUAAAAUUAGCCCUCUAUUGAAACUAUAAGCAUCUUGCUUCCUAAGAUUCUAGACCAAAUAAGUGACUGCCAAUUCUACUCUUAUAGAAUGAAAGAGUUUGCCAUUUUUAAUGUAAUGAAUUUUUUUCACUCUGAAAUAAGAUUAAAUCAAAAUGGUCUUAGCCUAAAAAAAUUCUCUUUAUUGGCGAAGAAGAAAACACCUCUUGUUACCUGUGUUCCACUUGUCAAGUUACACUAGCAAUCUGAGUCUUAGUUUCUAUAUUUGUAAAAUGGAAAAAAAUAAUGUGUCCCCCACGUGGCUAUUGUGAAGAUAAAAUGAGAAGAUACAUGCCAAGUGCCUAAUACAGGGCCUGGAGUAUGGAAGUACCCAGCAAACAUUCCAUCUCUCCAUUGGGCAAGGCAGUACUGGACAGUACCAAAAGGAGUAUUGAAGGUGGGAGGAGGAAAAUAAGAUCUUCAAGCAGUCAAACACAACAGAAUCCCAAAGUUACAACCAAAAGGGGUUAGGUAUGUUUUACAGAAAAUGUUAAGAAGGAUAAGUGAAAAGUAUUACAUAGAUAUAUUUGUGUAUGAUACGCUUCUGUAAUAGGUAUAAUCUGAAUAUGAAAUCAGAAUUCCUGGUCUCUGGGAAUCAGGGUUUUGAUUGUUUUCUAAGAUAGAUUAGUUUCUUCUGCUCCAGAAUUUCAUACAGAUUAAAUUUUAUAGCCAGGCACUAUCGCUUACACCUAUAAUCUCAGCACUUUGGGAGGC